rnacentral:rRNA from 1 species
UACGGGGGGGGCAAGCGUUGUUCGGAAUUACUGGGCGUAAAGGGCUCGUAGGCGGCCAACUAAGUCAGACGUGAAAUCCCCAGGCUCAACCUGGGAACUGCGUCUGAUACUGGAUGGCUUGAAUUCGGGAGAGGGAUGCAGAAUUCCAGGUGUAGCGGUGAAAUGCGUAGAUAUCUGGAGGAAUACCGGUGGCGAAGGCGGCAUCCUGGACCGAUAUUGACGCUGAUGAGCGAAAGCUAGGGGAGCAAACGGG